rfam:Strongylocentrotus purpuratus Contig101866_fixed, whole genome shotgun sequence.
UCCUUGGUAGUAUAGUGGUGAGUAUCUCCGCCUGUCACGCGGAAGACCGGGGUUCGAUUCCCCGCCCAGGAG